rnacentral:rRNA from 1 species
UAGCCGUAAACGAUACUCGCUAGGUGUCGGCCACGGUGCGACCGUUGUCGGUGCCGUAGGGAAGCCGUGAAGCGAGCCACCUGGGAAGUACGGCCGCAAGGCUGAAACUUAAAGGAAUUGGCGGGGGAGCACAACAACGGGUGGAGCUUGCGGUUUAAUUGGAUUCAACGCCGGAAAUCUUUCCGGGACCGACAGCAACAUGAAGGCCAAGCUGAAGACUUUGCCGGAUUAGCUGAGAGGAGGUGCAUGGCGUAGUCGUGU